UACGUAGGUGGCGAGCGUUGUCCGGAUUUACUGGGCGUAAAGGGAGCGUAGGCGGACUUUUAAGUGAGAUGUGAAAUACUCGGGCUCAACUUGAGUGCUGCAUUUCAAACUGGAAGUCUAGAGUGCAGGUGAGGAGAAUGGAAUUCCUAGUGUAGCGGUGAAAUGCGUAGAGAUUAGGAAGAACACCAGUGGCGAAGGCGAUUCUCUGGACUGUAACUGACGCUGAGGCUCGAAAGCGUGGGGAGCAAACAGG
rnacentral:rRNA from 1 species